ensembl:lncRNA
GGUCCGGACUCCGUUUCCCCUCACACCCUGAAGCAUUGUGCUGACCAGCUGUCUCCGGUGUUCACUGACAUCUUCAACACCUCCCUGGAGACCUGCCACGUACCAGCCUGCUUCAAGGCCUCCACCAUCAUCCCUGUCCCCAAGAAGCCCAGGAUCACAGGACUCAAUGACUACAGGCCCGUCGCCCUGACCUCUGUAGUCAUGAAGUCUUUUGAACGGCUAGUCCUGACCCACCUGAAGUCCCUCACCGACCCCCUCCUGGACCCCCUGCAGUUCGCCUACAGAGCCAACAGGUCUGUGGACGAUGCUGUCAACAUGGCCCUCCACUACAUCCUCCAGCAUCUGGACUCCCCAGGAACCUACGCCAGGAUCCUGUUUGUGGACUUCAGCUCUGCUUUUAACACCAUCAUCCCGUCUCUGCUGCAGGACAAACUCUCCCAGCUGCACGUGCCCGACUCCACCUGCAAGUGGAUCACAGACUUCCUGUCUGACAGGAAGCAGCACGUGAAGCUGGGGAAACAUGUCUCAGCCUCUCGGACCAUCAGCACCGGUUCCCCCCAAGGCUGCGUUCUUUCCCCUCUGCUCUUCUCCCUGUACACCAACAGCUGCACCUCCAGCCACCAGUCCGUCAAGCUCCUGAAGUUUGCGGAUGACACCACCCUCAUUGGACUGAUCUCUGGUGGGGACGAGUCCGCCUACAGGUGGAGUCUGACCAUCUGGUGUCGUGGUGCAGCCAGAACAACCUGGAGCUCAACGCCCCACCCUCCCCCAUCACCCUGUGUGACUCCCCCGUCUCCCACCCUGAUGCCUUCCCUGCUUGUCUUUUUGUACCCAGGAGGAAGCCUUGUGGCUGGAACCUUUUCUCCUUCCACUGUUCCGUCCUUCAGCCCCUUACUCUGGCUUCUCCCAUAAACAACUAAGUAUUCGCAUUCACAGAAAGUCAAUGCACACGUUGGAGGAUUUGUUGGUCUGAGUAAAGUCGGUGUGGCCCCCGUCUGAGUAGCAUUGACACUGUCAGCUCUGCCAGGAGUCACAUCUUUAAUAUUAAUGAUUAUUAAGGAUCAUUCUGAUAGCUGAUUUCUAGCUCUGACCGGCUUCUUCUGCACAGUUUUGUUGCUUUGCAGCAGCGACCAGGAAGGAGUGAGAGUUUCAGGAAUGUUUCCUCUGUGCUCAUGAACCACAAAACUCUCUUUCAGCGUUGAUAAUCAUCUUAGAGGAAACAAUGUGGAAUUAAAUUCAGGUCGCACAACAACUGCGCACAAAGAUGCACAAAGAUGGCUGCCUCAGUGCGAUGGUGGUGUUUGUUUUUUCUAUUGUUAAUUCUGUUUUCUGUUGGGAUUCCCGGAGCGCCUUCUCCAGAAAUGAGCUGUGCUGUGUUAAGUUAGUAAAAUUAUGAUUGUAUAGUGACCAAGUUAACGUUAACAUAUUUGACGUAGCAAUAAAUUACAACUGGAACGUGAUUAACGUUAAUCAUGAACGCCAUGAAACUUUAAACUUGCUUCACUUACACUUGAGGCAGAGCGUCGUCACGACGAGACGCCAUUGUUUGCUGACCUCUGACCCCGUUGCAUUGCAAGCUGCGAAGGCUCGUGGGGAGGGGAGGGGGGAGCUGCGCUCAUGUGAUUGAUUGAAAUGAGGGCGACAUCUGAUUGGCUACAGACAGGGUCCAUGUUGAAAAAAACGCAUUUGUGGAUCUGCGACGUAAGACGAGUCUCAAAAACCCCACACACAUGUGAAGCGAUCCGCAAAUAAAUACAGAUUGAUCUGCAAAUAUAAAUCGUAAUUCAUUGAUCGGUGCAUUGAAAUGUAUUUGUAAAUCCUUCUGUGUGCAUUUGUAAAUCGAAUACAUUUGUAAAUUGUUCCGCAUUUGUGAGUCGUUCAGUGUGUAUUUGCAUUUAUUGAGAGCAGGGCUGUAGUGGAGGGUAAACGCACGUAAACGCCGUUUACCCACCUCUGGAAUUUUGGAAAUAGCGUUUACGCACCUCUAAAUAGCGUUUACGCACCUCAAAGUUCCCUGCGCCUUGUAUUCUUCCGUUGGAAUAAUCCGAAAUAAACUUGGUGUAAUUUUAAAACAGCUAAGACUACGUUUCCUAUUGUUGAACAUAUAAACGCUGUAGUCUGAAUCAUGUUCAUCUGCGCUGUAUUACGGUCUGUGAGCAUCCAAUCAGCGCCUUGCGGCUGCAGCAGCGACCAAUCAGGAUCCAGGAGGUGUGUAAACACACGGAUCAGCCCAGUGGUCCCCAACCUUUCUUACCUCACGGACCGGUUUCAUGUCAGACAAUAUUUCGCGGACCGGUCGAGAAGGUCCGACGGGGGGUAGUAGUCGCGCGCUCUGUGUUCGCUGGGCGUGCACGGUAAAAGGAAAACGCCAGUGACGCGCGCACAUAAUUAGGAGAAAAUCCAGUCAAUGUUCAAAGGCUCUGCCUCCCCUGUCAUCAUGAGCGGGGAGCAAAGCUGUUGCUUCACUGAAUAGGCCUAUAUGCUUAAUCAAUUAUUUGAAGUCAUGAAAGGUGUAGAGUCGCCUGUAAGCGUUAGAAAACAAGUCAGUUCUCAAUGUGAAAACAAAACAUGCUGUAGGCUAUUUAUGAUGACGUAGGUAGUACAUGAGUGUUCCUUUAACUCAUGUUGUCAGUGUAAUUGACAGGCUGCUUAACUGGUUAACUCUUAAAUUCAACAUAUUUUUUCCGGCAGUGAGAGGACAGGCAAUGAU